GUUUCUUUCCGAUCGUCUCCUCGGAGCUGGACAGAGACAGAGAGCUGAUGACAGGAGAGGUGGACUGCUGAGACUCAGUGGGGACAUCUGAAAAGAGAUGAGACCUAUAGUGAAGUAGGUAUACAUUUCACUGCAGCACUCACCAUCCUCUCCAUAACUUUCUGGUCUGUCCUCGUGAAUGUAUGGAAUCUCGUCCAUGCGGAAGAACACGGAAUCGUUGGGACUCUUCUGCCCGUCAGAUUUACUGCCUGUGAAGAGAGAAUAAGACCAAAUCUGCUGUAAUCCAGCUGCAGAAGCAACAAAACAACAGCCGGUUUGUAGCUCUGCCUGAAGAGGGAGGUAGAGAGCUGACUGUUUAUCAGUCCGUGUGAAAUAUUUCAGUGGUGAACACUGAUGGGUUAAAAAUACAAGGUUUAACAUCCAAUUAACGCUGGACUACAACCAAUGGAGGAGGCUCAGCAGGUCAAUUGGGAAAAGGAAGCCCCUUGAAGCCCCUUGAAGCCCCUUGAAGCCCCCAGAAGCCCCUUGUCAACCCCUUUUCAGAUUUGAUGCACCCUGAUUCAUUGCACUGCACCUCACAUGUCACAGACACACCAGGUCACGUUUUUAUGAAUCUCUGUUUUUGCUUUUUCCCGAUGAUUCUCUGAAAGUAUCCAAUAUUUUUCGGUUGUAGACUUUUCCAAUGUUUUAAUGGACAACGGGGGAAGAACACAACCUUUCUGAUGAUCCUCUUUCUAACUCUGACUUGACUCUGUAUGUAGAUGGGUCCUCUUCACGUGACCCUGUCUCUGGUACUAACUGUGUUGGUUUUACUGUUUGUUCAGAUAACGGUGGUCUCCUCUCGAGUUCUCUUCGUCAUCACCUCACAGUCAGCAUGGAGGUUUGCAAAUUGGCUACUGGUAAAACAUUCAGUCUACACUAACUCCAGAUAUGCAUUCGCAAAUUUCAACGACAAUAACCUGACACGUUUCCAUCAACAACCAACAGAGACAUCUGUCCAAUGAUUGUCCUUAAUGUCCCUAACACAAACGUAAACAAAGUGGGUUGCAUGUUACAAACAGUGUAAGACAGAUUGUGUGUAGGAAAUCCAUUAAGCCUCGAAACCAGUACUGAUCGGUUGAUGCCACAUUUGCACCAGUAUUGUGUGAGUGAGCCAUCGACUGUGUUCAAGUUAUAGAUUCUUCCUUAAAUUUAAGCAGAAAUCUUAAAUAUAGUUUAAAAACUAUGAAACUGCUAUUUGUCUUCGGCUAUUUUUAACUUCUGUGCUAUUUGUUAUCCUAUUUAAUUAUGUAUACAAGAGCUAAUCUUUGAACAGUGACCUGAGGGACAUCAACGUGUGUGAACUUUGAUUAAUUAUUCAACAUCUUCUUUUAUUUACUCAUGAUUUUAAUCUUCUGUUUUGAAAAGGUUGGUAUAAGUCCUUGGUUCGUUGGCCCUGAGAGCUCAAAGCACUGCAACUCAAGAAAACACAAACAAAACAAAACACUUCACUUCUAAUAUGAGUAUUUGGCAGUGUUGUUAGUAUUUGGUAGUAAUGUAAGUAUUUGACUGUUUUGCGAGCAUUCACAAGGGUUGUGUUUGUUUUGCUGGUAUUUGCUUGUGUUGUGAAUGUUUGGUUGUAUAUUGAGUAUUUGGCUGUGUUGACAGUUUUGUGUAUAUUUUGGUUGGUGUGUUGCGGUAUUUGCAUUUUCCUUAUGUCUCUAAUUUUUUGACAAAUUGAAGAUGUUUUCUCCAUUCGCCCUAAUUUGAGCUCUCAGGGCCACCUAACUCUGGUGUACAGUUUUUUUCUUAAACUUUUACGUUAUUUGGCGAUCUUACAAUAAGUGCAUGGACACACUACACCAGCUAUUGGACACACUACGGCAUGCAGAUGGGGAAGACUGAGGAUCGAGCCGCCGAACUUCUAGUUGGAGGACGACCACUCUACCCCUCAGCCAGUCCGCUGCCCAACUUGUCAUCAGAUCAUAAUUGUUCAUGUUGGUGCAGAGUAUCAUAUCUUUAGAUCAAUCAUGUAUUGGUCCUUUCAGACAGGUUCUUGGCCAAUGAAUCUCUCCAAUCAGUGUGUUUGAUUCUUUGAGCUACCUUUCUUCCUCUUCAAAACAAAACCUCUACCAGCUUGAAUCCUAAAAUUCUAAUUGAGCCUCAUGGAGCUGGAUUAUCAUCUACAUUUCGGGGAGCUUGCAGGUUAAGUGCUGUACUGUUCCAUAACCAAAGGGCUUAUGGAAAUAUGGAAAGAAUAUUUUGAAGGAUGAUGCCUCCGGCUGUUGAUGAGCAUUAUUUUGUGUCAGUUUCUAUCAGUAAUUAUUAAAUCCUACUAAGAGAAAACAGUUGA